UGUGGUCAUGCGAUGAUCCAGUUGUUUACACGCUAUGGCUGGUUCUGGAGGUUGGCCAAAUCAACACUCAGAAAUGUCGGAAUUUAGUGAUUUUGAAGGAGACGGAAAUUUUGGUGUUAAUUGUGAUUUCAGCAUAAAUGAACUUUCAGGAUUAGAUGAUCUGAUCACAAACUGUGAGCAGGAACUGUUUUCAAAAGCUGAUACACUCUUCUCAGAUGAUGGAAUUUUGUCGCAUUUGGCUGGCGAUCCUAUACCAAUGGAAGAAGAUGUGUCUUAUGAUUUCUUGAACCUGCCAAAUAAUUUGGUUGAACCUAAAGUAGAGCCUAAUGUUUCACCACAACACAUUAGAAACAACUCCGCAUCUCUGGAAGAACCAGUUCCAGUAGCUCUCACCCGAUCAUUACCAGUGAUUAAAAGUGAAAACAGGGUAACAAAUGCAAAUCCUUAUGCUCCACCAUCCAGUAACAACAAUCUCUCCAGUGCUCCACUUUCUUCACCACCCCAAGUUGUACCGAAACUAACAAAACCACCAGGAAAUGGAAAUGCAACAAAAGUUGUUUUGCAACCAACAACAAACUAUGUCUUACAACAGCCUCAACAAUAUAGAAACAUUCAGCCUAACCCAGGUCCACCGCAGUCGGCACCAAUUCAUGCCAACAAACCUGCUCAGCGCAAAGUCAAGUCUGGCGGAAAUGUUGUAACUGUACAGAGUAUGGGCCAGAUCCACGUUCCAGCAGAUCAGAUGAAACAGAUGCUGGUACAGGCUCAACUGAUCAAAUCCUCACCUGCAACCGUGAUGUACACUCCGGUGAACUCAGCCAAGACCGAUGGCAUUCCUGCAGCCACACCCAUUCAUGCUCUCAACGGAGCCUUUGUUACCACAGGUAUCCCUGUAGUUUUGGACCCUGACAAAUUACCAAUCAACCGUUUGGGUUCAGUGCCUGGUCAACCCAAGGUGCGGGAAGUAAAGCGCAGUGCUCACAAUGCUAUAGAACGGCGAUAUCGAACCAGUAUCAAUGAUAAAAUCAUUGAAUUGAAGGAUAUGGUCUGUGGUACAGAGGCAAAGUUAAACAAAUCUGCAAUUCUACGCAAGGCCAUUGAGUAUAUCAGGUUUCUGCAGACCUCCAAUCUUAAACUUAAGCAGGAGAAUAUGGCACUGAAGAUGAACGCUCAGAGACAGACUCUGCGAGACCUGCUGGUGCCAACUGUGCAGGAUGAGGAGGAUAUACCGGGUGGCAUCACCCCACCCCACUCAGACACACUGUCCCCACCCCACUCUGAUCCACCAUCCCCUGAAGACCAUGUCUAUAUCACUGAUCAAAUGAAGGAGUCAGAAGGUGUGUUCAGAGGCAUGCUGGACCACACACGCAUGGCUCUCUGUAUGUUCAUGAUAUCAGUGGUGGUGGUCAACCCGUUCAGUACACUGUUCCACCAGAUGCCGGCCCGUACAGACCAGUACAGUGGCUCUGGUCGCACCAUCCUGACCGUUGACAAUGGUGAGGGAACGUUCUGGCAGUAUGCCAGCUCCUCAAUGGCUCUGUGGUUGUUCAAUCUUCUUGUCCUAGUCUUUGGGCUGGUGAAGGUGUUUGUUUACGGUGACCCCAUCCUCGAGUCCAAGAGCAAGGCCUCAACAUUGUUUUGGCGACACCGCAAACAAGCAGACUUUGAUCUCUCCAAGGGCAACAACAGUGCGGCUUACAGAGAGCUGGUUACCUGUUUACAAGUGCUCCAGUGUCCACUGCCAGUGACAAGAUUGGAAGUGUGUAGUUCACUGUUCUGGCAACUCUCCCGUCAACUUCUGCACCGAUUGUACGUUGGUCGCUGGCUGUCCUCCUACACUGGUGGUCUGUUUGCUACACCGGAGUUGCGCAGUGAGGCACAGGCCACAUGUCAGCAGCUGUCACUGGUAUAUCACCGCCUACACCAGCUGCACAUGGUGGAGGGGGGCAGCUGGGGUGCUGGGGUUAUGUUAGCAGUGAUGUCAGUCAACCUAGGUGAGGCAGCUGGUCCAGUCAGUACCAGCCAACUAGCUCACUGUUACGUCAUGCUGGCCUUGCAGCUCAAACAGUGCCUGCCCUCCGUUCUGCAAUUCUUCUCCAGAUACUACUUGAGCAGUGGGCGAGCGUUCUACCAGAAGCAGCCAUGUAACCACCUACAGUGGUUGAUGAGUCCCUAUGGCUACAAGUAUUUCCUGAGCAACCAGUGGGGGUAUGGUCUUCCUCAGCCUACAGUCUUCACCAGUGUUACAGACCCCACAGAUCCUCUGUCGUUUGUUGCUAGGAUCUACCGAGAACACCUGCUGGAGAGGAUUUUAAAAGCAAUGGUGAUGCCAGGAGCAACCCAGGAAUCUACAGCAGAAGAGAGUUCCAUCAAACGCAGCCCAACACCUGAAGUGCUGAGUUAUAUCAAACUGCUGGCUGACUGUCAUUGCUGUGAGAGGUCUGCAUGGUGGGCAUCAUUACUACAGGUUGCUGCUCACUGGAUGCUGUCUGAAGAUGUUGCUGUGGAGAGACUGUACCCGCGAGUGGAGACCCCCCCUGCUCCCCAGGAGCCCCUGGUGCGCACGGUGAUGGCUGCCUAUUACAUGCACAAGGCAGCUCUCAGUAGUACACCUCCAUCCCCACACGCUCUCGUAUCACUGUGCAAUACUGCUAGCCAACUGCUGCAAGAGAGCCUCACAGUAGAUGCUUGCCACAAGCCUGACACCAAAGUUCUGAGUGACAGGAUAUUCAGAGUGGGUAAAAGGAGAUGUGGGCCGCCUCCUGUCAGGAUCCCAUGAGGAGGUACAGCAGGUGCUAUAGCAGCUGUGUUCCAGCCUCUCAGUCACAGUGGGCAGGGGGCAGCACUCCCUCUCAAGUCCAGGCUUGCAACAGCCUUUAACACUAAGGGGGCUCCAUCCCCUCCAACAGUCAUCCUCCGCAGUAGACCGGACCUAUUGAUUCAUCCUUUACACCUCAAUAUCCUCAACAUUUUCGUUGGCUCAACUGUUGGUGUGUGACUGGCUGCUGGAGACUCGCACAGCACUGUGGGAAGAGCAGGGAGGCAGUGCCCAGGGUCCUGUACCCAGUGAACAACUCUCCGGUUUCCAGGCAGACCUCUCUUCUCUCUGCAGGA
rnacentral:misc_RNA from 1 species